rnacentral:rRNA from 1 species
CAGUAGCCGCGGUAACACGGAGGGUGCAAGCGUUAAUCGGAAUUACUGGGCGUAAAGCGCACGCAGGCGGUCUGACAAGUCAGAUGUGAAAUCCCCGGGCUUAACCUGGGAACUGCAUUUGAAACUGUCAGGCUGGAGUCUUGUAGAGGGGGGUGGAAUUCCAGGUGUAGCGGUGAAAUGCGUAGAGAUCUGGAGGAAUACCGGUGGCGAAGGCGGCCCCCUGGACAAAGACUGACGCUCAGGUGCGAAAGCGUGGGGAGCAAACAGGAUUAGAUACCCGUGUAGUCCCUGUCUCUUAUAC